UACGUAGGGUGCAAGCGUUAAUCGGAAUUACUGGGCGUAAAGCGUGCGCAGGCGGUUGUGCAAGACCGAUGUGAAAUCCCCGGGCUCAACCUGGGAAUGGCAUUGGUGACUGCACGGCUAGAGUGUGUCAGAGGGGGGGUAGAAUUCCACGUGUAGCAGUGAAAUGCGUAGAGAUGUGGAGGAAUACCGAUGGCGAAGGCAGCCCCCUGGGAUAACACUGACGCUCAUGCACGAAAGCGUGGGGAGCAAACAGG
rnacentral:rRNA from 1 species